rnacentral:lncRNA from 1 species
GUGAAAAGGCAGAGCAAGUGGCCAAAAAAGAAAUUAUGCUGUUUAUGGACCUAAUACAGUAUCGAAUGUAACAGCAAAGCGUUGGUUACAACGACUCUGUUCUGGUAAUAUAGAAAUCGAAGGAGAGGCACGCUCUGAAACUGAAGACUAGCCGGUAAAUCGUUUGAAACUAUACAUUACUGUCAAUAACUAACCAGAUUGAAGCAGACGAUCGACUUUUUAUUUAUAAAUCUGUAUUCAAAUCAUACAUGUUGAGAUAUAUAAAACAUGCAGUAAUAUAAUAUUAAUUGCAAGGAGGAAUUCCGUUACAUUAACAUGAAUAAGCAUUUUAUCUUGAAAUUAGACCUCCUAGCCAAGACCAACACCUAAAACAAUCAAACCAAUCAAAUCAAAUAAGAAUAGCAAUACAUUAAAUACAACAAUCACAUAGUAAAUAAAAAUACAGUAAUCAAUCCAUUGGUCUCCCUCGAUGAAAGCGUUCAUUCCUCCGAACAACUAUUAUAAUACUAGUCAUGUAUCCAGCUGAAUCUGAUAGUUUGUCUUUUACAAUCUCAAUACCAUUAUCCUAAUAGUCACCACCCAUCCUUGGUACUUUUAAUGAAAGAACAAUAUAUCCAUGGGCAGAGGACAAAACUAUUGUUCCCAAGUUGUUUUUUCUCGCUUCCACAUUAAGAGAAACAAAUUCAAGUAAAAAAGAUUUUUACGGUUUCUUGAUUUCAAAAGAAUGCUCGCUGAAAAAGGAAUUAAUAGGUAAUGAAGAGACAAUUGCCUAAACUGAGGCCUAUUUCAAGCCUAAAGAAAAUUGUACUAAAUAAACGGUACUUGAAUAUUAUAUGGACACUACAACCGUUGUAUCGUAUUGCAAAAAGUAUCCAUUAGUUAUUAAUCUGGCCACCAUCAGCCUCAAUGACAGCCUCCAACAGCCUCUGGAACACAUUGACAACGUAUUUCUUUUUCAUGAUCCUCCACAGCUGGUUAAUGGAGGUCUUCAGGGCAUCAAUAUUCGGGUGGCGGACUUUGCAGGCUUUCUUCUCAAUUUGCCACCAAAUGGAGUAAUCCAUUGGAUUCAGAUCUGGGCUCUGAGGGGGCCAAAGGUUCUUGGACCAGAACUUCAUGUAGUUAUCCAACUACUCUUGUACAAUAUUUGCAGUAUGGGCCGGAGCUCUGGCCUUCUGAAAUACAUACGUUGCCUUGAUGGACUUCUUCAUCGCCUUGGUGAUCUAUGGGAUAAUAUUUUCCUUCAACACCAUAAAGUUGGCGGCUGCAGGUAACCCCUAUAAACAGGAAACUAAAUUGGAGGCAUUUUUUCUCCAGAUGAUGCCAUACACCCCAAUGUCAUCACAGAGGCCGGAUGUCUGGUCUUAGUGACUGUCCUGAUGCUGUUGUCUUCCUUGCCAAAGCAUACCACCCGAUCAUUUUGCUUGUUGUA